rnacentral:rRNA from 1 species
AUUGAACGCUGGCGGCAGGCCUAACACAUGCAAGUCGAGCGGAGCGGCGGACGGGUGAGUAAUGCCUAGGAAUCUGCCUGGUAGUGGGGGAUACCGUCCGGAAACGGGCGCUAAUACCGCAUACUAUCAGAUGAGCCUAGGUCGGAUUAGCUAGUUGGUGAGGUAAUGGCAUACCAAGGCGACGAUCCGUAACUGGGCUGAGAGGAGGAUCAGUCACACUGGAACUGUGACACGGUCCAGACUCCUACGGGAGGCAGCAGUUGGGAAUAUUGGGCAAUGGACGAAAGGCUGAUCCAGCCAUGCCGCGUGUGUGAAGAAGGUCUUCGGAUUGUAAAGCACUUUAAGUUGAGAGGCGUUACCAACAGAAUAAGCACCGGCUAACUUCGUGCCAGCAGCCGCGGUAAUAC